rnacentral:rRNA from 1 species
UACGUAGGGGGCAAGCGUUGUCCGGAAUCAUUGGGCGUAAAGAGCGUGUAGGCGGCUGGGUAGGUCCGUUGUGAAAACUCGAGGCUCAACCUCGAGACGCCGAUGGAAACCCUCCAGCUAGAGUCCGGAAGAGGAGAGUGGAAUUCCUGGUGUAGCGGUGAAAUGCGCAGAUAUCAGGAAGAACACCCGUGGCUAAGGCGGCUCUCUAGUACGGUACUGACGCUGAGACGCGAAAGCGUGGGGAGCGAACAGG